rnacentral:rRNA from 1 species
AGAACGAACGCUGGCGGCAUGCCUUAUACAUGCAAGUCGAACGAGAAAGUCACUUCGGUGGCGAGUAGAGUGGCGCACGGGUGAGUAACGCGUAGAUGAUCUACCCUUCAGUCUGGGACAACUCUUGGAAACGGGAGCUAAUACCGGAUAAAACCUUCGGGUUGAAAGAUUUAUUGCUGGAGGAUGAGUCUGCGUACCAUUAGCUUGUUGGUGGGGUAACGGCCUACCAAGGCGACGAUGGUUAGCGGGUCUGAGAGGAUGAUCCGCCACACUGGAACUGAGACACGGUCCAGACUCCUACGGGAGGCAGCAGUAGGGAAUAUUGCGCAAUGGGGGCAACCCUGACGCAGCAAUGCCGCGUGAGUGAAGAAGGCCUUCGGGUCGUAAAGCUCUUUUAUGGGGGAAGAUGAUGACGGUACCCCAUGAAUAAGCACCGGCUAACUACGUGCCAGCAGCCGCGGUAAUACGUAGGGUGCGAGCGUUGUUCGGAAUUACUGGGCGUAAAGGGCGUGCAGGCGGAUUGGCAAGCCGGAGGUGAAAGCCCGGGGCUCAACCCCGGAGGGUCUUUCGGAACUGCCAGUCUUGAGAGGGUCAGGGGCCAGCGGAAUUCCUGGUGUAGAGGUGAAAUUCGUAGAUAUCAGGAGGAACACCGGCGGCGAAAGCGGCUGGCUGGGGCCACUCUGACGCUGAGGCGCGAAAGCGUGGGGAGCAAACAGGAUUAGAUACCCUGGUAGUCCACGCCGUAAACGAUGGGCACUAAGCGUCCGACGGGUUCGACCCUGUUGGGUGCUGCAGUUAACGCGUUAAGUGNCCCGCCUGGGGAGUACGGUCGCAAGACUNAAACUCAAAGGAAUUGACGGGGGCCCGCACAAGCGGUGGAACAUGUGGUUUAAUUCGACGCAACGCGAAGAACCUUACCUGGGUUU